rnacentral:rRNA from 1 species
GAGUGGUCACAUGCUAUCCAAGUAACUAAGAUUAAAAAGCAACUGAGCUGUCAUAAGCCCAAGAUGCCAAUAAGGCCUCCACGUCAAAGAAGAUCUUAGAACAACGAUUAAUUGAACUCCACGAAAGCCAGGGCCCAAACUGGGAUUAGAUACCCCACUAUGCCUGGCCCUAAAUCUUGAUGCUUACAGCUACUAAAGCAUCCGCCCGAGAACUACGAGCACUAACGCUUAAAACUCUAAGGACUUGGCGGUGUCCCAAACCCACCUAGAGGAGCCUGUUCUAUAAUCGAUGAUCCACGAUAUACCUGACCAUUCCUUGCCAAAACAGCCUACAUACCGCCGUCGCCAGCCCACCUCCCCUGAAAGCCCAACAGUGAGCGCAACAGCCCCACCACGCUAAUAAGACAGGUCAAGGUAUAGCCUAUGGAAUGGUAGUAAUGGGCUACAUUUUCUAAAUUAGAACAUAACGGCAAAGGGGUAUGAAACAACCCCUAGAAGGCGGAUUUAGCAGUAAAGUGGGACAAUCGA